rnacentral:rRNA from 2 species
UACAGAGGUCCCGAGCGUUGUUCGGAUUCACUGGGCGUAAAGGGUGCGUAGGUGGUGGGAUAAGUCGGAUGUGAAAUCUCGGAGCUUAACUCCGAAACUGCAUUGGAAACUGUCCUGCUAGAGGGUUGGAGGGGGGACUGGAAUACUUGGUGUAGCAGUGAAAUGCGUAGAUAUCAAGUGGAACACCGGUGGCGAAGGCGAGUCCCUGGACAACACCUGACACUGAGGCACGAAAGCUAGGGGAGCAAACAGG